GUAUGUCUUUUCAUCAUUUGGGUAUUUUUUUUUUUUUUGGAGAAUUUUGGGUUUGAUUAAUAAUAAAAAACCAACAUCACAAGGGCCAAUUUGCCCAACUACUACCCAAACUAAUACAACUAAUAAAGAAAAAACCGGCAACCCAAUUCUGCCCCAAACCCAUCCCAUCUACUCUUAUUACAUGCAGAUAAAUGUAAGAGAUCCGUUUCCAUUAAUCUAGCCUUACCUCUCUAAUCCCUUCCCACCUGAAAAUAUGUUGCCACCGCUACUCAAUAACAAAAUGGUUCUUCUUUUUCUUUGGGUUAUAAAUGGUGUUCCCUUAUGUUCAUCUCAGAUUCUACAUCAGUUUUCAAGAUUGUGCGCUCUGGUAGAUGAAAGUGGAAAUGGAUUUCAUUGUGAACUGAGGGUGCUCCAUCGGGAUGCUGGCUCCUCAUAGCAUUGGAUCUUCUCUCAGGUUUUCUGCUUCUGAUUCGGCCCACUCCCCUCCAUUUUGUCAAGACCAUUUUGAAGGCUGUAAUAGCCUAGGCUAGAUAGCUUUUUCACAUCUUCUUUUUCCUUUUUUCUUGUGUAAUUAUGUAGCUAGUGAAAAACUGAAGCAUCUGCCUUAUCUGCCCCUUGAUCAUCCCUUAGCUGAUGAAACUCUUAAAUAUGGGCUCUGUAGUUUGUCGCUGUUAAUGAUCUUUCUUCCUUGUGAUUCCAUGUAGUUGAAGCUUGCAUAUGAACAAUCUCCUGAAUUUAUUGCAUGAUUAGCUAAGUAAUCCGUCAA